AGGGCAGUAGCUCAAUUGGUAGAGCUUCGGUCUCCAAAACCGACGGUUGGGGGUUCAAGUCCCUUCUGCCCUGC
rnacentral:tRNA from 1 species